CAGUUCGGAUUGUAGUCUGCAACCCGACUACAUGAAGCUGGAAUCGCUAGUAAUCGCGGAUCAGAAUGCCGCGGUGAAUACGUUCCCGGGUCUUGUACACACCGCCCGUCACACCAUGGGAGUCGGAAAUGCCCGAAGUCUGUGACCCAACCGAGAGGAGGGAGCUGCCGAAGGCGGGACAGGUAACUGGGGUGAAGUCGUAACAAGGUAAC
rnacentral:rRNA from 1 species